GGAUAAUCUGCCCUCAGGUGAGGAAUAAUCCCGGGAAACUGGGGCUAAUGCCUCAUAGGAGACGGGUGCUGGAAUGCUCUGUCUCCGAAAGGUCCGCCGCCUGAGGAUGAGUCUGCGUCCGAUUAGGUUGUUGUUGGGGUAACGGCCCAACAAGCCUUUGAUCGGUACGGGUUGUGGGAGCAAGAGCCCGGAGAUGGAUUCUGAGACAUGAAUCCAGGCCCUACGGGGCGCAGCAGGCGCGAAAACUUUACAAUGCGAGCAAUCGUGAUAAGGAAACCCUGAGUGCCUGUCAAUGCAGGCUGUCCUGGUGUCUAACACACACCAGGAGAAAGGGCGGGGCAAGACCGGUGCCAGCCGCCGCGGUAAUACCGGCUGCUCGAGUGAUAGCCACUUUUACUGGGCUUAAAGCGUUCGUAGCUUGGUCGUUAAGUCUCUGGGGAAAUCUUUUGGCUCAACCAAAAGGCGUCUCAGGGAAACUGACGAUCUUGGAACCGGGAGAGGUAAGACGUACUUCGGGGGUAGGAGUGAAAUCUUGUAAUCCCCGAGGGACGACCGAUGGCGAAGGCAUCUUACCAGAACGGCUUCGACAGUGAGGGACGAAAGCUGGGGGAGCAAACCGGAUUAGAUACCCGGGUAGUCCCAGCCGUAAACGAUGUGCGUUAGGUGUGUCAGUGACCACGAGUCGCUGAGGUGCCGAAGGGAAACCGUGAAACGCACCGCCUGGGAAGUACGGUCGCAAGGCUGAAACU
rnacentral:rRNA from 1 species